rnacentral:rRNA from 1 species
UCGAGAAUCAUUCGCAAUGGGCGAAAGCCUGACGAUGCGACGCUGUGUGAAUGAAGAAGGCCUUCGGGUCGUAAAGUUCUUUCGCCCGGGAAUAAGAGAGGUUAGCUAAUAUCUAACUGAUUUGAAGGUACCGGGUAAAGAAGCACCGGCUAACUCCGUGCCAGCAGCUGCGGUAAUACGGAGGGUGCAAGCAUUAAUCGGAUUUAUUGGGCGUAAAGGGCGCGUAGGCGGGGAUAAAAGUCAGAUGUGAAAUCCUGGGGCUCAACCUCAGAACAGCAUUUGAAACUCUAUUUCUAGAGGGUAGGCGGAGAAAACGGAAUUCCACAAGUAGCGGUGAAAUGCGUAGAUAUGUGGAAGAACACCGGUGGCGAAGGCGGUUUUCUAGCUUAUUCCUGACGCUGAGGCGCGAAAGCAAGGGGAUCAAACA